GCAGCAGACUUUGUGAAAAUUAAUAUUUGUGUCAUUCUCAAAACUUUUGGCCACGACUGUACUGUAGACAAGUGAGCUUUUGCUCAUCUAGGACAAUGUAUUGAUAGUUAUGCUUUGUGUGUUGAUAGUGAGACUAGAAAAUAACUGCUAAAACAGCUGAUAUGAUUUUUACUCAACUUAGUAUUUUUGUUUUCUCUUUGCUGCAGAACAGUGACAUAGAGCCUGAGGAUUCCCCAAUCCCUAAAAUGUCUCCCAAGAGGAAAAUAAAUCUCAUGCAUUAUUCAUAACAAUUUAGUGGCCAAGCCCACAGCAAUUUCAGUUUCCACCACAUCAACAGUAACACCAAGAGUGGAGUGCUUCACAGCGUGCAGGAACCUGUUUGGUCACUGGGUCCCGGAAGCGUAUUGUGGUGUCUAGUGCUGAUUAGCGAACCAAUAAUGACACUUAAAAUAAAUUCCUUGCUCCUUGA